GGCCCUAUCGUCUAACGGUUAGGACAAUGCCCUCUCACGGCAUAAACGGGGGUUCGAUUCCCCCUGGGGCUG
rnacentral:tRNA from 2 species